rnacentral:rRNA from 1 species
AGAGUUUGAUCAUGGCUCAGGACGAACGCUGGCGGCGUGCUUAACACAUGCAAGUGGAGCGACGAACCGGGCUUCGGCCCGGGGCAAAGCCGCGAACGGGUGAGUAUCACGUGGGUAACCUGCCCCGAUGACCGGGACAACCCGAGGAAACUCGGGCUAAUACCGGAUGUGUUCUCCGCACAUCAGUGCGAAGAGCAAAGGAAGCUUCGGCCUCCGCAUUGGGAUGGGCCCGCGGCCCAUUAGCUUGUUGGUGAGGUAAAAGCUCACCAAGGCGACGAUGGGUAGCUGGUCUGAGAGGACGAUCAGCCACACUGGGACUGAGACACGGCCCAGACUCCUACGGGAGGCAGCAGUGGGGAAUCUUGCGCAAUGCGCGAAAGCGUGACGCAGCAACGCCGCGUGAGGGAAGAAGGCCUUCGGGUUGUAAACCUCUUUCAGGAGGGACGAAGGUUCAGGCGCGAAUAGCGUCCUGGACUGACGGUACCUCCAGAAGAAGCCCGGCUAACUACGUGCCAGCAGCCGCGGUA